CUGCCAGCCAGCAAGCAAAGUUGCCUGCUCCAGUCCAGCAGUAAACAAACGAAUAAAUUCAUCGUCAGCUCGCUUCAAUUCUGACUCUUAAUUUCUGAGUCAACUUCAAAUUUUCACCAUAAAUUGAAAACAAUUAAUGAGCAAUCUUUUUCUUUUGUUGUGUAUUUUGACUAUUGUAAAGCUCGCUAAAUUUGCGCUGCGUCUAUUGAACGCAUUUAGGAUGAUAUUUUUCCUAAGGGUUCGACCUUGUGGGAGAAAAAUGAUGAGACCGUCAAAUGUUUUGAUUGGAAUGUUAGGGAUGUUCUUAAUUUUUGGACUUCCUCGUGAGAGUUGUGCUUGGGAUAAGGGGACCAGUUCAAAUGCUUCUACUACAAUGUCAGCAACGACCGAAACGGUUAAACCAAUGGUGUCUACAACCGCACCCACUACUCCUUCCACACCAAGUAACUCGACGACUCCUGAAACAACAACAACACCAGCACCACCCUCUCAUGUGUGGUAUUCAUUUUCUGGCGAUAUUGAUCUUGCCGAGUUAUCAAAGGUGUUGAAGAAUGUGACGGGAACAGCACAGGUUGAGGACAGCCGACCGGGAGUCAGUACGGGAGGGCAGUUUCCCCAAUUUUCUAUCACGGGGAACCAAAUAGAAACAACAACGGAUAUAAUGAAGCAAAAUGGGAGUUUCACUGGAGUAGUGGCUAGUUUGAAGUUCAUUUCAAAUAGUCCACCCACCAAUUCCACUACCACUACUUUGCCAACCUCAACUCCAUCUGCUACAACCACUGCCACCAGUGCUACUACCCAACCGGUCAGCAGUACCACAACCACCCCACCCACUCCAUGCGUGCUGCCCUUCAAGUACAAAGUGCUCAUUUUCAUAUCGAUGUGUAUCCUCGUCAUUUUUAUCCUUGGGUUGCUGUCCGUACUCUGUUCAUCCGGUUCCUGGAGGUGUGAGGAAUUGAAAACGUCAUGUGCUAUUUGGAAAAGCAAUAUGAGAGCAAGGUAUUCCCGACGAAGAAUGCGAUUAACCGUUAACCCAUUCCUCAGCCGUUUUCGAAACGCUGACAAUCCAGCAGCUCAUCAAAACUAUCCGGUCGACGUGGAGGCGUACGAGCUGUUGUAGCUCACCAAAAGUUUUGAGAUUUCAUAAAAAGUUGACAAGUACUAUGUACAAUUUCCAAAUCGUCUAUCCUUUCAUCUCUUCCGUUCAAGGUGAUCUUCUUGACAAUCAAAUUUAAAAAUUCGUUUAUCAACUUCUUUCUUUUCUUUUCUAAUAAACUAUUUGUACUUCAUUAUUUGUAUAAGAACAAUAAAUAUGUUGUUCAUUAUUUGUUUUCAUAAGCAUGUGUAUUGUAUGAACUUUUUCCACUGUUCAUUAUUUAUUGCCGGAUAACAAAUACCAAUAAGUAGGUGGUUGCACUAGUUUCGCAGUGCGAAGUACCUUUCCAUAUGAAUUAGGAAGGGGAAAAUAAGUUAUCCAUCCAAACUUACAUAUCAACAUGAUACGUUGGGUAUUAUGUCUCACGGUGGUCCUGUGGGGUGUAGCUUCCGUACUUGGUGCUGAUGACGACGUCAACCACAUCUUUUCUGGAGAUUAUAAGACCUCGCGGAUUCGUCGUGACUCUGUCGCGGCUACAUUGGCUGCUGAGUCCCAAAAUGAAAUUCCCGACUCUGAAACCACAGUAGGUCGAGUGGCACGUCAUCACAGGAAGCAUCGUAAAGGGAGGAGGGGUCAUCGUCGACAUGGACACGGUGGUCGCUCCUUCGGAGAUGGAGGAUAUGGUCCCCCUCAAGAUUCAGGGUAUGGUCCCCUCGGUGGUGGAAUAGGCUUUUCGGGUGGAAAUUCUGGACUUCCACAUUUUGGACCAUUCCCGGAUUUGCCACCACCCCCACCACCAGGUUAUGACGAGGAAGUCGUUUCUUUCGACAUGAACGAAGCGGACAGUUGCUAGACAAAUGCAUAGAUUUCCUUGUCAUCUUUUACACAAAAUUGGAAUUUAACUUAUUUAUUACCGAAAAUUAUGUUCUUAGGACUAUUUAUUCAGAUUUAAUAAAGUUUGACGUAAAAUUAAA